GACAGAGGGUGCAAACGUUGUUCGUAAUUACUGGGCGUAAAGCGUGUGUAGGCGGUCAAGUAAGUCGGAUGUGAAAGCCCCGGGCUCAACCCGGGAAGUGCACUCGAAACUGCAUGACUUGAGUAUCGGAGAGGUUGGUGGAAUUCUCGGUGUAGAGGUGAAAUUCGUAGAUAUCGAGAGGAACACCGGUGGCGAAGGCGGCCAACUGGACGAAUACUGACGCUGAGACACGAAAGCGUGGGGAGCAAACAGG
rnacentral:rRNA from 1 species